UACAUGGGGUGCAAACGUUGCUCGGAAUUAUUGGGCGUAAAGCGCGUGUAGGCUGCUCGGAAAGUCGGAUGUGAAAGCCCUGGGCUCAACCUAGGAAGUGCAUUCGAAACUUCCGAGCUGGAGUGCUGGAGAGGAAGGCGGAAUUCUCGGUGUAGAGGUGAAAUUCGUAGAUAUCGAGAGGAACACCGGUGGCGAAGGCGGCCUUCUGGACAGCCACUGACGCUGAGACGCGAAAGCGUGGGGAGCAAACAGG
rnacentral:rRNA from 1 species